rnacentral:rRNA from 1 species
GACGAACGCUGGCGGCGUGCAUAACACAUGCAAGUGGAGCGACCGGUGACACCUUUCGGUUUCAACUUAAACCGGGAGCCGCGAACGGGUGCGUAACACGUGGGCACUCUGCCCCGUCGAUUGGGAUAGCCCGGGGAAACCCGGAUUAAUACCGAAUGCGUUCGCCUCCCUGAGGGGAGGUGAGGAAAGGAAGCUUCGGCCACCGCGAUGGAGUGAGCUCGCGACCGAUUAGCUUGUUGGUAAGGUAACGGCUUACCAAGGCGACGAUCGGUAGCUGGUCUGACAGGACGAUCAGGCACACUGGGACUGAGACACGGCCCAGACUCCUACGGGAGGCUGCAGUGGGGAAUCUUGCGCAAUGAGCGAAAGCUUGACGCAGCAACGCCGCGUGAGGGAAGACGGCCUUCGGGUUGUAAACCUCUUUCAGGGAAGAGUAAGGCUCGUGAGUUAAAAGCUCACCGGGUUGAAAGUAUUCCCAGAAGAAGCACCGGCUAACUACGUGCCAGCCGCCGCAGUAA